UACAGAGGUCCCAAGCGUUGCUCGGAUUCAUUGGGCGUAAAGGGUGCGUAGGUGGCGCCGUAAGUCGGGUGUGAAAUUUCGGAGCUUAACUCCGAAACUGCAUUCGAUACUGCGGUGCUUGAGGACUGGAGAGGAGACUGGAAUUCAUGGUGUAGCAGUGAAAUGCGUAGAGAUCAUGAGGAAGACCAGUGGCGAAGGCGGGUCUCUGGACAGUUCCUGACACUGAGGCACGAAGGCCAGGGGAGCAAACGGG
rnacentral:rRNA from 1 species